GUACCAGCGUUAAAAAUGGGCGCCUUUACGGAGUGAUCCGUAAUGAAAAACUCUGCUAAACAGGGGACCCCUUUUCACGAGAAGGCAAUCCUGUGCUAACUUUAUUUUUAUAAUUAUAAAGAAUAAUUAAAUGCCGAACGACUAUCCCGUGGUGGGAGUAGAAUUCAAGCGAUUGGAAUUCGAAACGCAGAGGGUCUAUGAAGAUAGACCGUGAUAUAGUCUCAUCUGCAUAGUGAUAUGCAG
rnacentral:ncRNA from 1 species